GUGGGGAAUAUUGGUCAAUGGAGGCAACUCUGAACCAGCCAAGUAGCGUGCAGGACGACGGCCCUACGGGUUGUAAACUGCUUUUAUGCGGGGAUAAACGGCAUUACGUGUAGUGCUUUGCAGGUACCGCAUGAAUAAGGACCGGCUAAUUCCGUGCCAGCAGCCGCGGUAAUACGGAAGGUCCGGGCGUUAUCCGGAUUUAUUGGGUUUAAAGGGAGCGCAGGCGGCACUUCAAGCGUGACGUUAAAUUUCGGGGCUCACCCCCGUUUUGCGUCGCGAACUGUUGUGCUUGAGUAGGCGGCAGGGAGGCGGAAUUCGCGGUGUAGCGGUGAAAUGCUUAGAUAUCGCGAGGAACUCCGAUAGCGCAGGCAGCCUCCCGUUGCUUUACUGACGCUCAUGCUCGAAGGUGCGGGUAUCGAACAGG
rnacentral:rRNA from 1 species